rnacentral:lncRNA from 1 species
UUUUUUUUUUUUUUUUUCUUUUGAGGGCUGCACCUGUGGCACAUGGAACUUCCCAGACUAGGAGUAAAAUUGGAGCUAGAGCUGCCAGCCUAUGCCACGGCCAUAGCAAAGCCAGUUCUGAGCUGCAUCUGUGAUGUAUGCUGCAGCUUGCAGCAGCGCCCAAUCCUUAACCCACUGAGCGAGACUAGGGGUUGAACCUUCACCUUCACAGAUACUGUGUUGGGUUAACCUGCUGAGCCACAAUAGGAAUUCCCUCAAUAACUAUUUAUUAAUAAAUGAAUGAAUAUAAAUUAUUCCAAAUGCAUUAAAGAUACAAGGAUUGUCUCUCUUGGUUCUUAUGUAAGAAAGGUUCUGAGACUGCAAAAUCAGUAACUGGUACAUUUGCAGGAGAACGUGGGAUAAUAUCAAAGCAAACAGAUUAGAAAGGGGGUACAUAUAUUAGUAAAGAAAUUAUCAAAGACUGCUGAAGUCACAUCAAAAGGGCUCCAUAGCCAACUUGAAGAUGCUCCCAAUGGCCAAAGAUGGAACAGUUUGUAUAAAAAAGGUAAGUACAAUAGAUUGACACACAUCAGAUAUGUUUAUCUCUUCUGAUACUGAGAAAAUAAAAAUAAAAGCUCAUAGUUAAUCUUCUGGAGGAUGGUAAGGAGUCAACUCAUUCUUUUGAAAAGUGGUAAUAAAGAGAAAAAAAAUAAAGAAUUUAUUCACUUUUCCAAUGUUAACUUUACCUAUGGCUAACUGAAGAGUUAGAUAUAGCAUCUUUUUUUUUUUUUUUUUUUUUUUUGGCCUUUUUGCUAUUUCUUUGGGCCGCUCCCUCGGCAUAUGGAGGUUCCCAGGCUAGGGGUCGAAUCGGAGUUGUAGCCACUGGCCUACGCCAGAGCCACAGCAACGCGGGAUCCGAGCCGGGUCUACAACCUACACCACAGCUCACGGCAACACCGGAUCCUUAACCCACUGAGCAAGGCCAGGGAUCGAACCCACAACCUCAUGGUUCCUAGUCAGAUUUGUUAACCACUGAGCCACGACAGGAACUCCAAAAGUAUCUCUAUAUUUUAGAGAUGCAUAGGAAAAUAUUUACAGAUGAAAUGAUACAGUGUCUGGAGUUUGCUUCAAGUUAAUCCUGAUGGAAAGAGUGAAUGGAGAUAUAAACAAAGCAAGAUAGGCCCUGAUUUGAUCAUUACUAAGACUGCGUGGUGGGUACCUGGGAAUUCAUUAUGUGAAUCUGCUACUUUUGAAUAUAUUCAAAAAUUUCAGAAAUAUAGUAGAUCAAAAAACUAAUGAAGAAAGAGACAACAUUACAUCUGGGCUAAUGCCAGAUUCCAGAAGGCCUUUUAAGAAGAACACAAAUCUGACUUUUGUAUGUCUAAAUCUUAAUAGCUCGAGGCUGAAACAGCAGUUGUGCCUUACUGGCUGUGGGGAGCCAGGAGCAGAGCUCAUUUCAGAAGCCCAGGGCUUUCUGUCCUGGUUACACCCAGAUGAUCCAGCUGGCAGGAAGAGCAUGAAAUGACAACAAAUAUUUAUUCCACUUUAGGACUGUUCUGUACUACUUGGAUUUCCAAGAAGAAACUUGGAUACAGGGCGAUCCUUUUCACCCAAGCCUUUAAAAAUUUUGGCUCCCUUUCCAGCACUGUCACAAUAAUGAGCAGCAAAAUUCAUGAGGGUAAAUUAGACUUUUAUUGAAUGGAAGAAAAGAAUACAACUUUUGAGUGUGGACCAGUGCUGUUUACUAGAACUUUCUAGGAUGAUGGAAAAGUUUUUUAUCUCUAUUGUUUAAUGUGGUAGCCAAUAGCCAAUAGCCAUAGCAGUUGAAAUAUGACUAGUGUGAUUAAGGAAAUGAAUUUUAAGUUUUAUUUAAUUUUAAGUAGUUUAAAUAGCCUCCCAUGACUUGCAGUUAUUGUAUUAGACGCCCCAGUUUGACUCUGUGUAUAUCUGCAUUAAUUACUUCCUUAAUGCUCUCUGCUAAUAACUCAAUCACAAAGAAUGCCUUAUUUUUUCCUACCUAAAUAGGUCAGUCAACAUGAAUUUAAAAAUUUUUUUCCUAUUAUUUAUCCUUAUGCC